UGGGGAAUUUUGGACAAUGGGGGCAACCCUGAUCCAGCAAUGCCGCGUGUGUGAAGAAGGCCUUCGGGUUGUAAAGCACUUUUGUCCGGGAGGAAAUCGCACCUGAUAAUACCGGGUGUGGAUGACGGUACCGGAAGAAUAAGGACCGGCUAACUACGUGCCAGCAGCUGCGGUAAUACGUAGGGUCCAAGCGUUAAUCGGAAUUACUGGGCGUAAAGCGUGCGCAGGCGGUUGUGCAAGACCGAUGUGAAAUCCCCGGGCUUAACCUGGGAAUUGCAUUGGUGACUGCACGGCUAGAGUGUGUCAGAGGGGGGUAGAAUUCCACGUGUAGCAGUGAAAUGCGUAGAGAUGUGGAGGAAUACCGAUGGCGAAGGCAGCCCCCUGGGAUAACACUGACGCUCAUGCACGAAAGCGUGGGGAGCAAACAGG
rnacentral:rRNA from 1 species